GCAUUGGUGGUGCGGUAGUCGAGUGGUAACACACUGGUCUACCAUUCCAGAGGUCCCAGGUUCAAUUCCUGGCCGGGGCA